UACGGGGGGUCCAAGCGUUGUUCGGAAUCACUGGGCGUAAAGCGCACGUAGGUGGCUUUUCAAGUCUGUUGUGAAAGCCCAGGGCCUAACCCUGGAAGUGCAGCAGAUACUGUUAAGCUUGAGUAUGGGAGAGGAUAGUGGAAUUUCUGGUGUAGUGGUGAAAUACGUAGAUAUCAGAAGGAACACCAGUGGCGAAGGCGGCUUCCUGGCCUGUAACUGACGCUGAGACGCGAAAGCGUGGGGAGCGAACCGG
rnacentral:rRNA from 1 species